rnacentral:lncRNA from 1 species
AUCUCUCCUAUAUCGAUCUCCAAAUGCACUUUGUGUGAAACCAUGGCGAGUGAGGGCAUUGUAUACCUGUACAUAUACUAUACCUGUACCUGUGGAUAAAUAGCUAAAUGCUAUUAAUCUCAAAAAAUAAAGAAUGGUUUAAACAGAGAUGUGGUAUUGGAGCGUUAUGUGAUACAAAGAUGGCUAACAAAGUGAAACACAUGUUUUAUAGAAAAACCAUUUUUCUUAUAAAGCAUGUUUUGUGAAACAGUUAUAAUUCCAACAAUAUUAUAUCGGAGUGGAUGUUGGGCCUCUAAAGUUUAACAUAAUAUCCCAUAGAUGCAGCUGCUAAGAUGGAUAUGUUGUUAUGCAAAUAUAAGAUAAGAUUAAAAAUGAUCUCAUGAAGGAUAAAUGAGAUAAGACUCCUUGAGAUGGUUUGGUCAUCUCUCCUAUAUCGAUCUCCAAAUGCACUUGGUGUGAAACCAUGGUGAGUGAAGGCAUUGUAAAGGAGACGAGGUAGACCUAAAAUAACAUGGGAGGAAGUAGUCAUAAAGGAUCUAUUAUCUUUUGGAAUCCAUGCAAACCUAUUGGAACAACACACAGUGGAAGAAAAGAAGCUAUAUAAGCUAUACCAGGGAGUAGUGAUUAUAUUUGGCGAAAUUAUGUAAUGGACCCUUAUACUUGUAUGAGGUAUUAUGGACACUCUUACUUA